rnacentral:rRNA from 1 species
CCGUAAGGGAGACGCGGAGGAGACAUUACCGAGUUUACAACUCCCAAACCCCUGUGAACAUACCACUUGUUGCCUCGGCGGAUCAGCCCGCUCCCGGUAAAACGGGACGGCCCGCCAGAGGACCCCUAAACUCUGUUUCUAUAUGUAACUUCUGAGUAAAACCAUAAAUAAAUCAAAACUUUCAACAACGGAUCUCUUGGUUCUGGCAUCGAUGAAGAACGCAGCAAAAUGCGAUAAGUAAUGUGAAUUGCAGAAUUCAGUGAAUCAUCGAAUCUUUGAACGCACAUUGCGCCCGCCAGUAUUCUGGCGGGCAUGCCUGUUCGAGCGUCAUUUCAACCCUCAAGCACAGCUUGGUGUUGGGACUCGCGUUAAUUCGCGUUCCCCAAAUUGAUUGGCGGUCACGUCGAGCUUCCAUAGCGUAGUAGUAAAACCCUCGUUACUGGUAAUCGUCGCGGCCACGCCGUUAAACCCCAACUUCUGAAUGUUGACCUCGGAUCAGGUAGGAAUACCCGCUGAACUUAAGCAUAUCAUAGGGCCCGGAGAGAA